ACGAACGCUGGCGGCAUGGAUUAGGCAUGCAAGUCGAACGGUCUGAUGGAGGCAACUCCGUUAGAUAGUGGCGAAAGGGUGAGGAACACGUGAGUAACUUACCCCCAAGUUGGGGAUAGCCCCGGGAAACUGGGAUUAAUACCGAAUGUGAACACAGUUCCGCAUGGGACUGUAUUUAAAGAUUUAUUGCUUGGGGAUGGGCUCGCGUCCCAUUAGCUAGUUGGUAAGGUAAUGGCUUACCAAGGCAAUGAUGGGUAGCUGGUCUGAGAGGAUGGUCAGCCACACUGGGACUGAGACACUGCCCAGACUCCUACGGGAGGCUGCAGUCGAGAAUCUUCCGCAAUGCGCGAAAGCGUGACGGAGCAAUGCCGCGUGCCGGAUGAAGGUCUUCGGAUUGUAAACGGCUGUCACUGGGGACGAAUUAUGACUGUACCCAGAGAGGAAGCCACGGCUAACUACGU
rnacentral:rRNA from 1 species